rnacentral:lncRNA from 1 species
AUAAAAAGUUUCACAUUUUUAACAUUAUUUGCCCAUGUAAGCGGCAUAAUGUACAGCAUAAUGACAAACACUCUUUACAAACAAAGAAAAAUUCUAAAUGAAAGUAGAAAUUGUUUUGACUUCCGUUUGAGAAAAUCAAAACUGUUCAGUCCUUUUUCAAAUAAUGUAAAUGGCUGCGUCAGAUCAGGGUACUUGUACAGGCAAGCAAGAUUAUGUGGAAAGUUGGAACACUGACAACCUCUCAGCAUUCUGCUCUUGUCGAUAACUUGUCCAGUUUCAUACUUUAUGGGAGUCAAUACCUCGUGAGUACUGGUUUAAACAAUACAAAAUAAAAGGCUGAUUGAACUGAUUAAACACCAUGAUUAAAUCAGUUUGGCAGGAAUGUCUUCAGGCACUCUUCACAGUCCCUUCACUGAGGGGAAGACUGUACUGAGGGGACUACAUUCAAUCAACGUGGAUUGAUAGAUCCCGUAUACUGCUAAUAAAAAUAAAGUUUAGUUAGCCCCAAUAAUAUCCAGAUCCCACCAACAUUACACCCUCUAAUGCAAUGCCAGUUUCAUACUUUUUGGGCUACCUUGACCAUCUGUGUCACAGUCAGGGACUUUCCAGUCUAGCUUGCGGCCUUUCUCAUAGAGUCCCUUCAGAACUUUGCGGACUUCGUAGUUCCCUCCUCCACGACUCAGUUUCAGGUACUUCCUGUACAGAGCAAGGGCAGUCCGUGCGUCCUCAAUACUGUCAUGGGUCUCACCUUGAAUGUUAAGGUCUGGAGAAACAAGUAGAAGUUUUGCCAUUUCACACAAUUUGGUUGUUACGUGGAUGAAUUUGGAAAAUGGCAGACUAAGUAGUAAUUUCUAUAUGACCAAAACAGUGGUUGAGGAGUAUAAGCUCUUACCCAGAAAGUACCAGGCAAGGAAGCGCAGAGAGAUGAUCCUCUUAAUGGGCAUAUGGAACAGGUAGACUGUCAACUACCUGAUCCUUCAGCACCUGAGCAAGGUACAUCAAAACAGAGAUGAGCUCCCACACUCCCUCCAUUGAAAUUACCCUGUCUACUGUUAACAUAGCUAACCAAUAGGGCUGGUUUCCUGGACACAAAUAAAGACUAGUCCUAGACUAAACAUUUUUCAAAGGAGAUUCCCCAUUGAGCAUGCUUUUAGUCCAGGACUAGGCUUGAUCUGUCUCCCGGAAACCGGCCCAUAAUCUUUACUAAAACUGCAUCCAGGGGUAUAGAAACACAGGUAAAAUUCAUUCCAUUUAAAAAUCAGGUAAAUUAAGUAUACAAACUUACCAGCAAAUGUAUAACCCGGAAGUCCUUCUGUAAACCAUGGCCAACAAAGUGCACUCCGGUGUCAAUGAGGAAGCGCAGCUUCAGGUAUGUUGACUUCAGAGUGGUCAAGUGCUUGGAGGAAAUCUUAGCAUCCAGGUCACCUGGUUUGAUGCCUGAGUACUGGGUCAGAUAGUCCACCACCUGCACCAGCAAAACCGUGAGGAAGAAUAAACUUUAAGAACUAAGAUUAGUUGAAUCUAGGUCGCUUUGUUAGGAAGCUGUCACAUCAGAUUUUACUGCAUAGCAAUAAUUAUCUGGACAUCCAUCCAUCCUGUUAAUGUAGUCAUUAUUAUUGCCAGGGCGAGAGGGGCUGCAUUACCUGCUCCUGAGUAGAGAUGUAGUCAUCGAUGAACGGUACUCCCUCGUUGGGACCCUGACCACGCACGCAGGUGAUCCGUGCCACAGACAUCUGACUGGGCUUAAUGGUGGACUUGGUGCCGUCGCUGUGUAGCUCUGCAUCCUCCUAUAUAAAGACAGUAUCCGGUCCAUAAGGGGGAAUUUAAACAGCAGAUCUCCAAGCAGAGCUCCCUAAUGUAUCACUGUUAAUUAUUAUCCUCAUUGCCAUGUUGCUAGGGUGAAGCUGCCUGUAACAGAAGUUGUCAUGGAGAGAAGACCAAGGCGCAGCAGUCGUUUUAUUCUCAACCAGAAUACAUGUCAAGCAGUGAAGUUUCAGCUCUGUCUGUCCGUGACCUCUCUUCCUCGGUGCGCACUGUCACUGUGUCCGUUUCCAUCUUGUCCAGCCGUCAAAAUCUGCAGAGCUGGGAUGGUCGUAUCCCCCACAUAUAUAAUUGGUCUAUAUAUAUAUCUUUUGGUUGCAAGAAUUUUGUAUAAUAAUUUAAAAUAAACUUGAAGUUUUGAAUCCGGCGUCGUUUUGUGUAUCAGUUCAUAAACCAUGUGCCAUGGAAUCAGUACAUUAAAAAAAUCUCCUUCCAACUAUUUUGCAACCUGUAUGGCGCAG